rnacentral:rRNA from 1 species
CAGGCGGUCUUACACAUGCAAGUCGAACGAUGAACCGGUUUCGGCCGGGGAUUAGUGGCGAACGGGUGAGUAACACUGGGCAAUCUGCCCUGCACUCUGGGACAAGCCCUGGAAACGGGGUCUAAUACCGGAUAUGACCACCGGCCGCAUGGUCUGGUGGUGGAAAGCUCCGGCGGUGCAGGAUGAGCCCGCGGCCUAUCAGCUUGUUGGGGGGUGAUGGCCUACCAAGGCGACGACGGGUAGCCGGCCUGAGAGGGCGACCGGCCACACUGGGACUGAGACACGGCCCAACUCCUACGGGAGGCAGCAGUGGGGAAUAUUGCACAAUGGGCGCAAGCCUGAUGCAGCGACGCCGCGUGAGGGAUGACGGCCUUCGGGUUGUAAACCUCUUUCAGCAGGGAAAAGCGCAGUGACGGUACCUGCAGAAAAGCACCGGCUAACUACGUGCCAGCAGCCGCGGUAAUACGUAGGGUGCGAGCGUUGUCCGGAAUUAUUGGGCGUAAAGAGCUCGUAGGCGGCCUGUCGCGUCGGAUGUGAAAGCCCGGGGCUUAACCCCGGGUCUGCAUUCGAUACGGGCAGGCUAGAGUUCGGCAGGGGAGAUUGGAAUUCCUGGUGUAGCGGUGAAAUGCGCAGAUAUCAGGAGGAACACCGGUGGCGAAGGCGGAUCUCUGGGCCGAUACUGACGCUGAGGAGCGAAAGCGUGGGGAGCGAACAGGAUUAGAUACCCUGGUAGUCCACGCCGUAAACGUUGGGCACUAGGUGUGGGCGGAUUCCACGUCGUCCGUGCCGCAGCUAACGCAUUAAGUGCCCCGCCUGGGGAGUACGGGCCGCAAGGCUAAAACUCAAAGGAAUUGACGGGGGCCCGCACAAGCGGGCGGCAGCAUGUGGCUUAAUCGACGCACGCGAAGAAACCAUUACCCAAGGGCCUUUGGAACAU